UCUGCUCAUGGGCUGCACUGGACUUCAACUUUGCUUUCCCCUGAUGUACUUUUCAAGCUUUGGUAUCAAGGCUCAAACUCGCUGAACAAAACAAGCGAGGGUGCGCUCCGUUACUGUCGGAAGAAAUCACAGAGGAUUGGUAGAGUGU